rnacentral:tRNA from 1 species
AGAGUUGUGGCUCAGUGUUAGAGCGCUCACCUAGCAAGUGUGAAGCCCUGGGUUCAAUUCUCAGCACCACAU